AACGAACGCUGGCGGCAGGCCUAACACAUGCAAGUCGAACGAGAAGCCACCUUCGGGUGGUGGACAGGGGCAGACGGGUGAGUAACGCGUGGGAACGUGCCUUUCGGUUCGGGAUAACCCAGGGAAACUUGGGCUAAUACCGGAUACGCCCUUCGGGGGAAAGAUUCAUUGCCGAAAGAUCGGCCCGCGUCGGAUUAGCUAGUUGGUGGGGUAAAAGCCUACCAAGGCGACGAUCCGUAGCUGGUCUGAGAGGAUGACCAGCCACACUGGGACUGAGACACGGCCCAGACUCCUACGGGAGGCAGCAGUGGGGAAUAUUGGACAAUGGGCGCAAGCCUGAUCCAGCCAUGCCGCGUGGGUGAAGAAGGCCUUAGGGUUGUAAACCCCUUUCAGCGGGGAAGAUAAUGACGGUACCCGCAGAAGAAGCCCCGGCUAACUCCGUG
rnacentral:rRNA from 1 species